UACGGGGGGGGCAAGCGUUGUUCGGAAUUACUGGGCUUAAAGGGUGCGUAGGCGGCGCAGUAAGUUGGGUGUGAAAUCCCUCGGCUUAACCGAGGAAUUGCGCCCAAAACUACUGUGCUCGAGGGAGAUAGAGGUGAGCGGAACUUAGGGUGGAGCGGUGAAAUGCGUUGAUAUCCUAAGGAACACCGGUGGCGAAAGCGGCUCACUGGAUCUCUUCUGACGCUGAGGCACGAAAGCUAGGGUAGCAAACGGG
rnacentral:rRNA from 1 species